GAGAGUUUGAUCCUGGCUCAGGAUGAACGCUGGCGGUAUGCCUAACACAUGCAAGUCGAACGAAAAUACAUAGUAUUUUAGUGGCGCACGGGUGAGUAACACGUAAGAAUCUCCCUUUAGGAAGAGGAUAACAAUUGGAAACGAUUGCUAAUACUCUAUAUGCUGAGAAGUAAAAUGACGUAAAACUUUUGAACGUUACCUAGAGAUGAGCUUGCGUCUGAUUAGCCUGUUGGUAAGAUAAUAGCUUACCAAAGCUAUAAUCAGUAGCUGGUCUGAGAGGAUAGACAGCCACACCGGAACUUAGAUACGGUCCGGACUCCUACGGGAGGCAGCAGUGAGGAAUUUUCCGCAAUGGGCGCAAGCCUGACGGAGCAAUACCGCGUGGAGGAUGAAAGCCUAUGGGUUGUAAACUCCUUUUCUUAGAGAAGAAGUUCUGACGGUAUCUAAAGAAUAAGCAUCGGCUAACUCCGUGCCAGCAGCCGCGGUAAUACGGGGGAUGCAAGCGUUAUCCGGAAUCAUUGGGUGUAAAGCGUCUGUAGGUUGUUUGUUUAAGUCAGUUGUUAAAUUUCAGAACUCAAUUUUGAUAACGGCAACUGAAACUAAUAAGCUAGAGUCAAGUAGAGGUAGAAGGAACUCCGAGUGUAGUGGUGAAAUGCGUAGAUAUUCGGAAGAACACCGAUGGCGAAAGCAUUCUGCUGGGCUUGUACUGACACUGAGAGACGAGAGCGAGGGGAGAGAAUGGGAUUAGAUACCCCAGUAUUCCUCGCCGUAAACGAUGGAUAUUAGAUAUUAGGUAAAUAUUUUUUAUUUAGUAUUGAAGCUAACGCGUUAAAUAUCCCACCUGGGGAGUAUGCUCGCAAGAGUGAAACUUAAAGGAAUUGACGGGGGCCCGCACAAGCGGUGGAGCAUGUGGUUUAAUUCGAUGCAACGCGAAGAACCUUACCAGGACUUGACUACAUCUAUACCUCUUCGAAAGAAGAGAUCUUUUAAGAUGACAGGUGGUGCAUGGCUGUCGUCAGCUCGUGCCGUGAGGUGUUGGGUUAAGUCCCGCAACGAGCGCAACCCUUAUUAUUAGUUAUGUUUCUAAAGAUACUGCCGGUAAUAAAUCGGAGGAAGGUGAGGAUGACGUCAAGUCAUCAUGCCCCUUAAGUUCUGGGCUACACACGUGCUACAACGGUUAAGACAAUGAGAUGCAAUUUUGUAAAAAUAAGCUAACCUCAGAAACUUAACCUCAGUUCGAAUUGUAGGCUGAAACUCGCCUACAUGAAGUUGGAAUCGCUAGUAAUCGCUGGUCAGCUAUACAGCGGUGAAUACGUUCCCGGGCCUUGUACACACCGCCCGUCACACCACGGAAAUUAGCUACACCCAAAGCUAUUACCUUAACCUAUAAUAUCUUAGGAGAGGGGUAUCUAAGGUGGAGUUAGUGACUGGGGUGAAGUCGUAACAAGGUAAGGCUACUGGAAGGUGGCCUUGGAUCACC
rnacentral:rRNA from 1 species